AGAUUCCUGGCAACUGCAUGAACAAGUCCCUGCAGUUUUCUUGACAAGACUUCAGAAGUAGUUUGCCAUUGCCUUUUUCCUUUAGGGAAACAAAA